UUUGUUAAAUGAACUAAAGGUCGCGGGUUCAAAUCUCGGACACCUCAAAGUUUAUAGUUUUUUCUUUUUCGUUCAUCUUCUUUCUCCUCCAGCUUUUUUCUUCCUCCAAGUUCAUAUCGAAACUGCGCCAUCUUCUUCUUUAGUCCACCACCAUCACCGUCACCAUCACCACCACCAUCUCCACCACCAUCAUCUCACCACCAUCCAAAAUUCGUAUUGAGGAACAGAGUGAACUAAUUUCUUUUUCUUUUCUUGUCUUUCUCUUCACUCUCCUCCACCUCCUUCAAUCUCACUGUUACAGAUUCAAUCACCACCACCACUCUUCAUCAGCAGAUUCAAUCAGAUUGGUUUGGUGGUUGAAUCUGGUUGGACUGGAAAUCAGAAGGGAAGAUGUCGUUGUUGCUAUGGAACUGUGGUUAAGGAAGAAAUGGUAAAUUAGGGUUUGUUGCUGCCAUUAAUAAAAAUGAUGAAUCGAAAUUGAAAUGAAGAAAAAUAUAUAAUGAUUUUGAGUAUGUUGCAGAGCAGGUUCGAGUUGGAAUCGAGGGUGGAUGCUAUUGAUUGCAGAUGGGUUUUGAUGGAUAUGAUUAUGGUUUGAGUCGAAUCUGAAGUUGGCAGUGAAUUGAAGCCAAGAAGACAAAAUGGAGAUGUUCAUGGGAAGUGGUUUUGAUGGGUGAUGUUUCUGGGUUUGAUUUAUAGCUAAUUCAACAGAGAAAAAUGAUGAAAUUGCAAUUUGAAACUGGAAAUGCUGCCGUUGAGAGGAAUUGCAAAUGAAGUUCUGAUUCUUCUGGAGCAUCUGAUGUAAGGAGAUGGAAGAAAAAACAACUUAAAUUCAAUAGUCAAAAACCAUUCAAGCUUAGAACUGAGCAAAGAGGAAAACAUAAAGAAGAAGUAUUCGUAAAGAAAGUACAAGAAAUGCUUACAGAAGAGGAUAAGCAACGUAUACCCAUUGCGCAAGGCCGUCCACGGGCAACAGCCGAACCAGAGCCACCAGUAAAAGACAUCACGAGGCCCAUCGACUUGAAACUUCACAGUGAUGUGCGAGCAGUUGAGCGUGCUGAUUUUGAUACUCAGGUUGCGGAGAAGUUAAGCUUACUUGAACAGCAUAGAAUGGAAAAAAGAUAGGCAACAGAAGUUGGAAGAAGAGGAAGAAGUCAAGAGGUUGAGGAAGGAGCUAGUUCCAAGAGCUCAACCAAUGCCAUAUUUUGAACGCCCUUUUAUUCCUAAAAGGUUUAGUGAAGCAUCCUAUUAUUCCAGAAGAACCAAAAUAUCAUGUUUCCCAUCACAAGAGAAUUGGGAGACAUGAGACGAGAAGAGGAAGAGGGAGAGAGAUGAAUGGUUGGCGAUAUAAAACAUUACUUAACCGAGAAUUUUUUUCACCAUUGAUCGAUCGAUCAUUUGUUCUCUAUUUUUUGAACUUUUUACCAGUACACUUUAAAGAUCAUUCACUGACAGUUUGUUUGGUUUUUUUUUUUUUUUUUUGUUUGUGUAUGUCAAAGCUAAAGCAAUAGCUUUAAUUGUAUUGUGUUUUUUUGAGUAAUCUUGUUGAUUUUCACUUAGGUCGUAUAUAAUUGGGCCGAGUGAGGGAGGACCUUAUAUUACGAUUUUUUUUUUGUAAAAUCUACAAGUGAUCAAUUGGAUUUAGAAGAUUGGAU